rnacentral:rRNA from 1 species
GAACGCUGGCGGAAUGCUUUACACAUGCAAGUCGAACGGCAGCACGGGAGCUUGCUCCUGGUGGCGAGUGGCGAACGGGUGAGUAACAUAUCGGAACGUAUCCAAUAAUGGGGGAUAACUAAUCGAAAGGUUGGCUAAUACCGCAUACGCCCUGAGGGGGAAAGCUGGGGAUCUUCGGACCUGGCGUUAAUGGAGCGGCCGAUAUCUGAUUAGCUAGUUGGUGAGGUAAAGGCUCACCAAGGCGACGAUCAGUAGCUGGUCUGAGAGGACGACCAGCCACACUGGAACUGAGACACGGUCCAGACUCCUACGGGAGGCAGCAGUGGGGAAUUUUGGACAAUGGGCGCAAGCCUGAUCCAGCCAUUCCGCGUGAGUGAAGAAGGCCUUCGGGUUGUAAAGCUCUUUCGCAAGGGAAGAAACGAUAGUGACGAAUACUCGCUGUUAAUGACGGUACCUUGAUAAGAAGCACCGGCUAACUACGUG